GGUUUGGAUCCCGGCUCAGAGCGAACCGCUGGCGGCAGGCUUAACACAUGCAAGUCGAACGGGCUUCUUCGGAAGUCAGUGGCAGACGGGUGAGUAACACGUGGGAACGUGCCCUUCGGUUCGGAAUAACUCAGGGAAACUUGAGCUAAUACCGGAUACGCCCUUUUGGGGAAAGGUUUACUGCCGAAGGAUCGGCCCGCGUCUGAUUAGCUUGUUGGUGGGGUAACGGCCUACCAAGGCGACGAUCAGUAGCUGGUCUGAGAGAUGAUCAGCCGUCGACGCGGCCG
rnacentral:rRNA from 1 species